AGAGUUUGAUCCUGGCUUAGGACGAACGCUGGCGGUAUGCCUAACACAUGCAAGUCGACGAAAAACGAGGGCUUGCUCUCGUUUUAGUGGCGCACGGGUGAGUAACGCGUGAGUAAUCUGCCUUAAAGUGGGGGAUAACAUUUGGAAACGAAUGCUAAUACCGCGUAAUAUACAGUUUUCGCAUGGAUUUUGUAUUAUAGAUUUAUCGCUUUAAGAUGAGCUCGCGUCCGAUUAGCUUGUUGGCGAGGUAAAUGCUCACCAAGGCGACGAUCGGUAGCCGGGUUGAGAGACUGAACGGCCACAUUGGAACUGAGACACGGUCCAGACUCCUACGGGAGGCAGCAGUGGGGAAUAUUGCACAAUGGGGGAAACCCGUGACGCCAGCAAUACCGCGUGAGGGACGAAGGCUCUAGGGUUGUAAACCUCUGUUUAAAGGGAUGAAUUUCUGACAGUACCUUUAGAGGAAGCUCCGGCUAACUACGUGCCAGCAGCAGC
rnacentral:rRNA from 1 species